rnacentral:rRNA from 1 species
UACGUAGGGUGCGAGCGUUGUCCGGAAUUAUUGGGCGUAAAGAGCUCGUAGGCGGUUUGUCACGUCGGAUGUGAAACCCCGGGGCUUAACUCCGGGCCUGCAUUCGAUACGGGCUGACUAGAGUUCGGCAGGGGAGACUGGAAUUCCUGGUGUAGCGGUGAAAUGCGCAGAUAUCAGGAGGAACACCGGUGGCGAAGGCGGGUCUCUGGGCCGAUACUGACGCUGAGGGGCGAAAGCGUGGGGAGCGAACAGG